GCGAGCGCGAGACGCUGGCGGCGUGCCUAACACAUGCAAGUCGAGCGAUCACUUCUUCGAGGGUGGAGGACCGGUGAAUAACGCGUGGGUCGCGUGCCCUGCUGCCACGGAUAGCAUACCGAAACGGCUACUAGGACAGUAUAACCUAUUAAAGUCGCUUGAUUUUUUGAUCGCUGCUCCAGAGAUUCAUGACGGACCCACGUCUGAUUAGCUCGUUGGCUAGGUAAUGGCUUACCAACGCAACGAUCAGCUCCCGACCUGAGAGGGUGAUCGGGUGCACUGGAACUGAGACACGGUCCACACUCCUACACUCCGUACCAGUGGGGAAUAUUGCAAAUUGGGCGAAAGCCUGAUGCCCAGACGCCACGUGAGCGAUGAAAGCCUUCGGGUCGUCAGAGUCUGUCCUUCUGGAAUAUAAGGACGGUACUUGAGGAGGAAGCCCCGGCUAACUACGUGCCUACAGCCGCGGUAAUACGUAUGGGGCUAGCGGUGUCCGGUAUUACUGGGCGUACUGGGUGCGUAGGUGGUUUUUUAAGUCAGAAAAGAAAGGCUACGGCUCAACCCCGUUCACCUUUUGAAAGUAUUUGACUUGGGUGUCGGAGAGGGCAGUAGAAUUCAUAGUGUUCCGGUUGAUAGCGUUGAUAUGAGGAGAGAUACCGAAAAACAAAGUGGCUCUCUGGACUCUAACUGACUGUGAUGCACGAGAGCGUGGGGAGCGAGCAGGAUUAAAUACCC
rnacentral:rRNA from 1 species